GGUUAAGCGAAUAAGCGUACACGGUGGAUGCCUAGGCAGUCAGAGGCGAUGAAGGACGUGCUAAUCUGCGAUAAGCGCCGGUAAGGUGAUAUGAACCGUUAUAACCGGCGAUUUCCGAAUGGGGAAACCCAGUGCAAUUCGUUGCACUAUCAUUACCUGAAUACAUAGGGUAAUGAAGCGAACCGGGAGAACUGAAACAUCUAAGUACCCCGAGGAAAAGAAAUCAAACGAGAUUCCCCCAGUAGCGGCGAGCGAACGGGGAGCAGCCCAGGACCUUAAUCAGCAUCAGUGUUAAGAGAACAGUCUGGAAAGGCUGGCCACAGCAGGUGAUAGCCCUGUAUCUGAAAGCACUGGUGUUGUGAGUCCGAUGAGUAAGGCGGGACACGUGUUAUCCUGUCUGAAUACGGGGGGACCAUCCUCCAAGGCUAAAUACUCCUGACUGACCGAUAGUGAACCAGUACCGUGAGGGAAAGGCGAAAAGAACCCCGGCGAGGGGAGUGAAAAAGAACCUGAAACCGUGUACGUACAAGCAGUGGGAGCACCCUUCGGGGUGUGACUGCGUACCUUUUGUAUAAUGGGUCAGCGACUUAUAUUCUGUAGCAAGGUUAACCGAAUAGGGGAGCCGCAGGGAAACCGAGUCUUAACUGGGCGAAUUAGUUGCAGGGUAUAGACCCGAAACCCGGUGAUCUAGCCAUGGGCAGGUUGAAGGUUGGGUAACACUAACUGGAGGACCGAACCGACUAAUGUUGAAAAAUUAGCGGAUGACUUGUGGCUGGGGGUGAAAGGCCAAUCAAACCGGGAGAUAGCUGGUUCUCCCCGAAAGCUAUUUAGGUAGCGCCUCGUGAAUUCAUCUCCGGGGGUAGAGCACUGUUUCGGCUAGGGGGUCAUCCCGACUUACCAACCCGAUGCAAACUGCGAAUACCGGAGAAUGUUAUCACGGGAGACACACGGCGGGUGCUAACGUUCGUCGUGAAGAGGGAAACAACCCAGACCGCCGGCUAAGGUCCCAAAGUCAUAAUUAAGUGGGAAACGAAGUGGGAAGGCUCAGACAGCCAGGAUGUUGGCUUAGAAGCAGCCAUCAUUUAAAGAAAGCGUAAUAGCUCACUGGUCGAGUCGGCCUGCGCGGAAGAUGUAACGGGGCUAAAUUAUGCACCGAAGCCGCGGCAGCGAUAUGUAAAUAUUGUUGGGUAGGGGAGCGUUCUGUAAGCCUGUGAAGGUGGCCUGUGAGGGCUGCUGGAGGUAUCAGAAGUGCGAAUGCUGACAUAAGUAACGAUAAUGCGGGUGAAAAACCCGCACGCCGGAAGACCAAGGGUUCCUGUCCAACGUUAAUCGGGGCAGGGUGAGUCGACCCCUAAGGCGAGGCUGAAAAGCGUAGUCGAUGGGCAACGGGUUAAUAUUCCCGUACUGGUGGUAACUGCGAAGGGGGGACGGAGAAAGCUAAAUCAUCCGGGCGACGGUUGUCCCGGUUUAAGCGUGCAGGUGGACUGACCAGGCAAAUCCGGUCGGUUGUUAACACUGAGGCGUGACGACGAGCCACUACGGUGGUGAAGUGAUUGAUGCUCUGCUUCCGGGAAAAGCCUCUAAGCUCCAGGUUACCAUUAAUCGUACCCCAAACCGACACAGGUGGUCAGGUAGAGAAUACUCAGGCGCUUGAGAGAACUCGGGUGAAGGAACUAGGCAAAAUGGUGCCGUAACUUCGGGAGAAGGCACGCUGGCAUUAGGUGAAGUGGUUUACCCAUGGAGCUGAAGCCAGCCGCAGAUACCAGCUGGCUGCAACUGUUUAUUAAAAACACAGCACUGUGCAAACACGAAAGUGGACGUAUACGGUGUGACGCCUGCCCGGUGCCGGAAGGUUAAUUGAUGAGGUUAGCGUAAGCGAAGCUUCUGAUCGAAGCCCCGGUAAACGGCGGCCGUAACUAUAACGGUCCUAAGGUAGCGAAAUUCCUUGUCGGGUAAGUUCCGACCUGCACGAAUGGCGUAAUGAUGGCCAGGCUGUCUCCACCCGAGACUCAGUGAAAUUGAACUCGCUGUGAAGAUGCAGUGUACCCGCGGCAAGACGGAAAGACCCCGUGAACCUUUACUAUAGCUUGACACUGAACAUUGAGCCUUGAUGUGUAGGAUAGGUGGGAGGCAACGAAGUGUGGACGCCAGUCUGCACGGAGCCAUCCUUGAAAUACCACCCUUUAACGUUUGAUGUUCUAACCCGGGUCCAUAAUCUGGAUCGGGGACCGUGUCUGGUGGGUAGUUUGACUGGGGCGGUCUCCUCCCAAAGAGUAACGGAGGAGCACGAAGGUUGGCUAAGCAUGGUCGGACAUCAUGCGGUUAGUGCAAAGGCAUAAGCCAGCUUGACUGCGAGAGUGACGGCUCGAGCAGGUACGAAAGUAGGUCUUAGUGAUCCGGUGGUUCUGAAUGGAAGGGCCAUCGCUCAACGGAUAAAAGGUACUCCGGGGAUAACAGGCUGAUACCGCCCAAGAGUUCAUAUCGACGGCGGUGUUUGGCACCUCGAUGUCGGCUCAUCACAUCCUGGGGCUGAAGUAGGUCCCAAGGGUAUGGCUGUUCGCCAUUUAAAGUGGUACGCGAGCUGGGUUUAGAACGUCGUGAGACAGUUCGGUCCCUAUCUGCCGUGGGCGCUGGAAGAUUGAGAGGGGUUGCUCCUAGUACGAGAGGACCGGAGUGAACGCACCACUGGUGUACGGGUUGUGAUGCCAAUUGCAUUGCCCGGUAGCUAAGUGCGGAAGAGAUAACCGCUGAAAGCAUCUAAGCGGGAAACUUGCCUCGAGAUGAGUCUUCCCUGACCCUUUAAGGGUCCUGAAGGAACGUUUGAGACUAAGACGUUGAUAGGCUGGGUGUGUAAGCGCAGCGAUGCGUUGAGCUGACCAGUACUAAUGAACCGUGAGGCUUAACCUG
rnacentral:rRNA from 1 species